rnacentral:piRNA from 1 species
AGGGUAUUCAUUCCCUUGGCACACCCGAC